rnacentral:rRNA from 1 species
UACGUAGGGUGCGAGCGUUGUCCGGAAUUAUUGGGCGUAAAGAGCUUGUAGGCGGUUUGUCGCGUCUGCUGUGAAAAUCCGGGGCUCAACCCCCGGACUUGCAGUGGGUACGGGCAGACUAGAGUGCGGUAGGGGUGACUGGAAUUCCUGGUGUAGCGGUGGAAUGCGCAGAUAUCAGGAGGAACACCGAUGGCGAAGGCAGAUCUCUGGGCCGUAACUGACGC